rnacentral:misc_RNA from 1 species
CACAAAUCUUGCUUACACUCCUCCUGAGUACCUAAGAAACGGAAGGGUCACCCCUGAAAGCGUAAUUUACAGUUUUGGUACCGUUCUUCUGGAUUUGCUAAGUGGAAAGCAUAUUCCUCCAAGUCAUGCUCUGGAUAUGAUAAGGGGAAAAAACAUAAUUCUGUUAAUGGAUUCACAUUUGGAGGGACACUUCUCCACAGAUGAAGCAACUGUGGUUGUUGAUCUUGCCUCUCGAUGUUUGCAAUAUGAACCUAGAGAACGGCCUAGUACAAAGGUUCUUGUUGGAACAUUGGCUUCCCUGCAAAUGAAACCUGAUGUUCCGUCAUAUGUAAUGCUUGGAAUUUCAAAACACGAGGAAACCCCACCAACACCUCAGCGUCCCCUCUCACCAAUGGGCGAGGCCUGUUCACGGAUGGACCUCACAGCAAUUCAUCAGAUCUUGGUUAUGACUCACUACAAAGAUGAUGAAGGAACAAACGAGUUAUCUUUCCAAGAGUGGACACAGCAAAUGAGAGAUAUGCUGGAGUCAAGGAAGCGAGGAGACUUUGCCUUCCGUGAUAAAGAUUUUAAAACUGCCAUUGACUGUUAUUCCCAGUUCAUAGAUGUGGGAACCAUGGUUUCCCCUACUGUUUUUGCACGGCGCAGUCUUUGUUAUCUAUUAUGUGAUCAGCCAGAUGUUGCCCUUCGAGAUGCAAUGCAAGCUCAGUGUGUAUAUCCAGAGUGGCCCACAGCCUUCUACAUGCAGUCUGUCGCCCUUGCCAAACUCGAUAUGCAUAAUGAUGCGGCUGACAUGUUAAAUGAAGCUACUGCACUAGAAGAAAAGAAGCAAAAAGGUGGGAAAGCAACAUGAAAAUUAAUUGUACGAUCAAUAAAAGAUCUCCGCACAGAAAAUGCAUUGUCAUUGAGGCCAUGCCCAACUUUAUGUAAAAUUUGAGCUGUGAAUUGAUUAGCUUUUUCGAUAAAAAUUGUAAUAUAGAGAGAGACUUGUUGCAUCAAUGCAUCAUGCAUGUGUAAUUUUCCCUGUUUGUUGGGGAAUUAAUUGAGCUAGCUCUGGCCUGUCGGUUGCGAUCUGAUUUUUCUUGAACACACAUUCCA